GCUUACUGCCAGACCACCCUGACUGCGCCCGAUCUCGUAUGAUUUCGGAAGCUAAGCAGGGUCAGGCCUGGUUAGUAUUUGGAAUGGGAGACCGCCUGGGAAUCCCAGGUCGCUGUAUUGC
rnacentral:rRNA from 1 species